rnacentral:rRNA from 1 species
GGUUGUGAUCAUACAAGCGUUAAUGCAUCGGAUCCCAUCAGAAAUCCGCAGUUAAGCGUGCUUGGGAUAGAGUAGUACUAGGAUGGGUGACCUCUCGGGAAGUCCUAGUGUUGCACCCU